AGACUGUCCGACGAUGCGGCGGACGGGAGAGUAAUGCCUAGGAAUCUGCCUAGUGGUGGGGGAUAACGUUCGGAAACGGACGCUAAUACCGCAUACGUCCUACGGGAGAAAGCGGGGGACCUUCGGGCCUCGCGCCAUUAGAUGAGCCUAGGUCGGAUUAGCUAGUUGGUGAGGUAAUGGCUCACCAAGGCGACGAUCCGUAACUGGUCUGAGAGGAUGAUCAGUCACACUGGAACUGAGACACGGUCCAGACUCCUACGGGAGGCAGCAGUGGGGAAUAUUGGACAAUGGGCGAAAGCCUGAUCCAGCCAUGCCGCGUGUGUGAAGAAGGUCUUCGGAUUGUAAAGCACUUUAAGUUGGGAGGAAGGGUAGUAACUUAAUACGUUGCUACUUUGACGUUACCGACAGAAUACGCACCGGCUAACUUCGUGCCAGCAGCCGCGGUAAUACGAAGGGUGCAAGCGUUAAUCGGAAUUACUGGGCGUAAAGCGCGCGUAGGUGGUUCAGUAAGUUGGAAGUGAAAUCCCCGGGCUCAACCUGGGAACUGCUUUCAAAACUGCUGAGCUAGAGUACGGUAGAGGGUGGUGGAAUUUCCUGUGUAGCGGUGAAAUGCGUAGAUAUAGGAAGGUACACCAGUGGCGAAGCGACCACCUGGACUGAUACUGACACUGAGGUGCGAAAGCGUGGGGAGCAAACAGGAUUAGAUACCCUGGUAGUCCACGCCGUAAACGAUGUCAACUAGCCGUUGGGAGUCUUGAACUCUUAGUGGCGCAGCUAACGCAUUAAGUUGACCGCCUGGGGA
rnacentral:rRNA from 1 species